rnacentral:rRNA from 1 species
GACAGAGGAGGCAAGCGUUAUCCGGAAUUAUUAGGCGUAAAGCGUUCGUAGGUGGUUUGACAAGUCUGGGGUUAAAGCCCGGAGCCCAACUCCGGAUCGGCCCUGGAAACUGUCAGACUUGAGUAAGGUAGGGGUUGCGGGAAUUCCCGGUGUAGCGGUGAAAUGUGUAGAUAUCGUGAAGAACACCAGCGGCGAAAGCGCGCAACUGGGCCAUUACUGACACUGAGGGACGAAAGCUAGGGGAGCGAAUGGG